rnacentral:rRNA from 1 species
GACGAACGCUGGCGGCAUGCCUAAUACAUGCAAGUCGAGCGGACAGAAGGGAGCUUGCUCCCGGAAGUUAGCGGCGGACGGGCGAGUAACACGUGGGCAACCUACCCUGUAGAUCGGGAUAACAUCGAGAAAUCGGUGCUAAUACCGGAUAAUCAUUUGAAGUGCAUGCUUCGAAUGUAAAAGAUGGCUCCGGCUAUCACUACGGGAUGGGCCCGCGGCGCAUUAGCUAGUUGGUAAGGUAAUGGCUUACCAAGGCAACGAUGCGUAGCCGACCUGAAAGGGUGAUCGGCCACAGUAGGACUGAGACACGGCCCAGACUCCUACGGGAGGCAGCAGUAGGGAAUCUUCCGCAAUGGACGAAAGUCCGACGGAGCAACGCCGCGUGAGUGAUGAAGGUUUUCGGAUCGUAAAGCUCUGUUGUUAGGGAAGAACAAGUGCCGUUUGAAUAAGGCGGCACCUUGACGGUACCUAACCAGAAAGCCACGGCUAACUACGUGCCAGCAGCCGCAGUAAUAC